GAUGGAAAAAUAGGAAAAGAAAAAAAAUGGAGAUACAGUGAAUUUUCCGCGUAAAUACAGAAGAGGAGCAUAUUCCUGCCAGUAACUUUCACAGUGUUGCUGGAAUGAAGCUAUUGCUCAUCUAUUAGGAUCCUUUGAGCUCCAAAAUCUGUGCUGAGCCCAGAGUGUCAUUAAGGAGAUGAUUGUGCUUUGCACAAGGGCCUAUGCUCACCUCCACGGAUAAAACACUUGUGUACACACACAGUACUCCUCAAACUUGUCCACAGUUCAAACAAAGGCAAAAGAUGUGGAGAAACCUCAGCCAUGACCAGACUGCUGUUAUCUGUAUGAAGACAGUACUUCUGGGUACAGAAACACCAGCUCACAGUUGCUACAUCUGAGUUCUGGCUGGAAUAUGAGGCUAGAAGAGGAUCUGCUCGAAGGCUAGCAGCAAAUUAAUAUUUUUGUAAUAUAAACUGGCAUGGACAAGACUGAGGAGAGAUACUGAAAUCAUGAAUACCAGUGAAGGAUCAGCUAUAGACAGAAAAUGGUUUGGAAUAUUUUUCUUUAUGUAGUUGUGUAGAACAUGUUACAGAAUCUGUACAAAGUAAUAGUUAUUUUUAAGCAACGUUCCAAGGCAAAAUGAUGGUUUUAGUUAUUAUUAUGUAUUGACCAAAUCUGUGUUUUAAAUUAUGGUUUGGUUCUUUACUGUGAUGCUCAGCCUUGCCUUUGUAGAAUUCCUUGUUAGACAUACCGAAAAUGGGUAUUGGGCUAUUUCGCACAUUCUAAAGCUAUCGCUACUUGGCUGGGUCUUAAACUUCAAAGUGGGCUUCCAUACAACAUGUUUCAACGUGUCAGAGGCCAUUAAGAGGCAAGUCAGCCUUUGUCCUCUGCCUUUCUAAGCACGCUGAUAAGUGCUACCAGCCCACCCAGUACAGUGCUGCAACAGCAAGUGGCCAAGACGCAGGUUCUGGGUAUGGUGUAAUCACACAGGCAUUAAAAGAGUCUGUGGGAAUUGCUGCUGAUGUCAAACUUGUAAGCUAAGUCCCCUACCUGCGUUCCCAACCAUCACGCAAGUGGCCCUAAUUCUGGAGGGCUAAUGAUGCAUCUUGGUUUGUUUCAUUCUCCGUAGAGUAUGGGAACUCUCUAACUGAGGGAAAAAAAAAACAACAUUACAAUAAAAAGAAAACAGGGAAAAGGAGUAAACCAGGAAGAAGCAAAUAGACAGCGCUGGUGGGGAAGAAAAAGGGCUUUUGUUCUGGGUAAUGCAACAUGCCAGAGAAGGGCUUUUUUUUUUACCCUCUGCUUGUGAGAAAGACAGGCAGAAUAGCCGUAAUGUCAGUGGCUGGAAGCAGUACACCUCCUUUCCCUUGCACCUCCCUCAGUCCAGCUCAUGACUGACAAGGGUGAGCAAAGUCCUCCCAAAAGAGGCCCUGUCUCGAUGCUGGGGGUCCCGCUCCCUCCCCAUGGCAGGCAGCCUCUGAACUGGUUUUUCACAGUGACUGACAACUCUUUCCAGCAGUACAACUGAAUUCAUGUUCUGCAACAUUUUUUUCCCCUAAGGACAUUCUUUCUUUUUGUUAAUACUCUAUGUAUUUGAUCUUCUUGCCUUCACAAAACAAUCAAACAUGGUUUGUCAGCAGUAUAUUACUGAAACAGGAGGGGCAGAGAGGGGUUAUAUGCACCAGGAAAAUGUCGGGUUUAGAUAAAGAAAUUAUGAGGUCUGAUCCUUUGGCAGAGGUAAGCUUAGUAUUUUAAAAUCAUGGCUUUCUGUAAUCAAACCAAGCAUGAAGCUGAAUUGAUAAUCGUGCAAGCCGUUAUUUUUCUUGAACCAGAAGUAAAUCAUCAUUUUGAUGCUUGUCUGAAUACUGCAAGAAUUGAACCAAAACAGAUUUUCAGUUGCAAGCUAAACACUACAUAUAAAAAUAGACAGCUCCCUAGCAGGGACUUGCUUAGUAUGAGCCUUAUUUGCACUUGAUAGGAGCUUCAAAGCAAUGUCAUGUCACAGCCUAUUCCCCUCUCUCCCCUCCUUCCCGCUCGACUCACAGGCAUUGUAGCACAGACUUUCACUCCAGCUGCAUGACACUGAGCUGCUUCACUCUGUGCUACAUGAGCAGGGAGGGGUUGCAUGGAGAGGUGGUGGAGUCUCCAUCCCUGCAGAUGUUCAGAAGCCAUCUGGACAUGGUGACCAUGCAUCAGCGGGGAGAGGGGUGGUCUCCAACAGUUCCUAUCAGCCUGAACCACUCUGUGAUUCUAUCUCAAAGGGUUUAUUGCGCCUGGAGAUCAGUUAAAAGAUUUGCCUGUACAAGAACAUUGGCCUGCGUAGAGAACUCUACAUGGGGAGUAUGGGAGAAAAAGUUGUAAAUGCAGGCUCUACUUUACAACUGCAGAAUUGGUAAUGGCCUCUCACAUACAUUUCAACGUAUGUAAUAGAAAGGACUUACCUGUCAUUGCAACUGGAGGUUUGAUCUUAGAAUGAUUUAAAAGUCUGAUCUUGAUAUAUAACGCUAAUAAAAAUCAGUGGAGAUAUGGAGCUCUGACAGUAAUACGUAAAAAGUGGCUGACUGUCUCAUUUUAAAAUACUGAUUCAUAUUAGUUUUACUUCAUCGGUUUCAUGGAGCUAUUCCAGAUUUAUAUCGAUGCAAGCAAGAUUGGAAACAAACCCAACAUCUGCAACUUCUAUAUUUAUUAUUAAGAAAACUGUGAUUCUCAGAUCCAUUACUGUUCCAAGCCUCUCAGUCCCAUAAUACACCUUUUCUGCUAAAUGUCACUACGUAUAUUUUUAUGACUUCUAAUGCUACAGCAUUUAAUAGAAAUCUGGCCCUCUUGCUCUGCCUUUUAAGUUGUCUAAUCCCUGCAGAACGAACAUGCCAUCUGUUCAUCAUCAGCCAUCACACCCUCUAAGUUGUGUAAGUAAGUCCAGAUCCCAGUAGUCCACUGUGAAAGACUCAGUUAGUUGCCUUAAUCCAUCGAUGGAAUUCAACUGCUUUCUCAUACAGAGGCAGGAGUCUGUCACUAAUCACUGUCACCUAAAACUACAGUCAGAGAUAGCCGUAAGAUAGAAACAGAUAGUGCAUCAAUUCCUUCACAAUGCUCUAUUCAUAUAUGGAUGAGCAGAAGUUUGGCUCUUGACGACUGAAAAGCAUGCCAAGGUUCAGUGCUUCAAAGGCAAAAGAAUUUUUCUUAAUUAUUUUGAGUGGUACGAGUAACUUCUUCACUUUCACAAAUUAUAUAGGACUAAAUCUAGAAGUGUUAAUUUUCCUAGGCUCUGCCUAUGCUUAAUGCGUAGCUGUAGUCCUCCUUCACUGCCACAGUUAGUUCAUUAAAGCAUCUCAAAAGUACAAGCAGUCUGCUCUUUCAGUUAGGUUACCAAAUGUUUAAACAAAAGCAUGUGAAAUGUUCUCUCGUUGUAGCUAAGAUUAAUUUUAUCUGUAAGGAAAUAACCAAAUAAUUCAUAAAUACUGAAGCUUCUUCAAGACAAAAAUUUUCUAGCUAAUUUCUUCCUUAUAUGCAAAUGAGUAAAAAAGCAAACUUUCAUCAUGUAUAUAGUCCUUAGACACUUGCGUGGCCUUUGUAUUUCUCAUCAUGGCAAAAAUCAGAUUGAAAGUAGCAAAAUAUUAUUUUAGAAUGAAGUAAAUGAGUUUAAAACAAUGAUUCAUGGAAUACUGAAGC